UUAGAUACCNUAGUAGUCCACGCUGUAAACGAUGAUUACUAGGUGUGGGGGACCAAGGUCCUUCGGUUCCGUCGCAAACGCANUAAGUAAUCCACCUGGGGAGUACGUUCGCAAGAAUGAAACUCAAAAGGAAUUGACGGGGACCCGCACAAGCGGUGGGAGCAUGUGGUUUAAUUCGAAGCAACGCGAAGAACCUUACCUGGUCUUGACAUCCCGAUGACGAGUGAGCAAAGUCACUUUCCCUUCGGGGCAUUGGAGACAGGUGGUGCAUGGUUGUCGUCAGCUCGUGUCGUGAGAUGUUGGGUUAAGUCCCGCAACGAGCGCAACCCCUAUUUCCAGUAGNCCAGCAAGAAAGAUGGGAACUCUGGAGAGACUGCCCGGGAUAACUGGGAGGAAGGCGGGGAUGACGUCAAAUCAUCAUGCCCCUUAUGAUCAGGGCUACACACGUGCUACAAUGGCGUAAACAAAGGGAAGCGAAGUGGUGACACGAAGCAAAUCCGAAAAAUAACGUCUCAGUUCGGAUUGUAGUCUGCAACUCGACUACAUGAAGCUGGAAUCGCUAGUAAUCGCGAAUCAGAAUGUCGCGGUGAAUACGUUCCCGGGUCUUGUACACACCGCCCGUCACACCAUGGGAGUCGGAAAUGCCCGAAGUCAGUGACCCAACCGAGAGGAGGGAGCUGCCGAAGGUGGAGCCGGUAACUGGGGUGAAGUCGUAACAAGG
rnacentral:rRNA from 1 species